rnacentral:rRNA from 1 species
GGAAUUGCUAGUAAUGGCAGGUCAGCAUACUGCCGUGAAUACGUUCCCGGGGCCUUGUACACACCGCCCGUCACACCAUGAGAGUUGGGAAUACCCGAAGCCUGUGAGCUAACUUUUAGAGGCAGCAGUCGAAGGUAGAAUCAAUGAUUGGGGUGAAGUCGUAACAAGGUACC